AGUGAACGCUGGCGGUAGGCCUAACACAUGCAAGCCGAACGGCAGCACAGUAAGAGCUUGCUCUUACGGGUGGCGAGUGGCGGACGGGUGAGGAAUACAUCGGAAUCUACUUUUUCGUGGGGGAUAACGUAGGGAAACUUACGCUAAUACCGCAUACGACCUACGGGUGAAAGCAGGGGAUCUUCGGACCUUGCGCGAUUGAAUGAGCCGAUGUCGGAUUAGCUAGUUGGCGGGGUAAAGGCCCACCAAGGCGACGAUCCGUAGCUGGUCUGAGAGGAUGAUCAGCCACACUGGAACUGAGACACGGUCCAGACUCCUACGGGAGGCAGCAGUGGGGAAUAUUGGACAAUGGUCGCAAGCCUGAUCCAGCCAUACCGCGUGGGUGAAGAAGGCCUUCGGGUUGUAAAGCCCUUUUGUUGGGAAAGAAAAGCAGCAGGUUAAUACCCCGCUGUUCUGACGGUACCCAAAGAAUAAGCACCGGCUAACUUCGUG
rnacentral:rRNA from 1 species